rnacentral:lncRNA from 1 species
AAAGGUCAGUGAGUUCCCCGAUGCUUUCCUGACUGCGCGCCUAGGUCGCUAGUAUUGCUCUAGGCCAGAGGGCUGGAGUCCACCACCUGCUGCUGAUACGUAUCAGAAAAGCCUUGGGCUUCCAGAUCCCUGGCUCCUUCUGGAAGGUGGCCUGGGAACGUCAGUGUAAAGCUGAUAUAUAACCGGAAGCCUGAAACAUAACAAUAUUCUCACUACAUUUUGCUGGCUGAGGAGGGACAGGUUUCAUCAGUGUCUGGUUCAAGCACUUCCUGGUAUACUCCAUCUCCACACUUGAUUCUUUGGUGAUUGAGGAGGCCCCAGCCAGCCAGCAGAGAGCACGGGGCCUGGAAAGGUAUUUGGACAGUGUCCUGGACUUUCACUGAAUGAUAGACACCACCAGUUAUUCUAUUUUGUUAAACUAACUAGCAAGUGAAAGAAAGGAAUCAAGGUUGGUGUUCUCGGGCCUGUUUGUAGAGAGUUACACACAUGGGGUUGUGAAAAAUCAGCUGUGGGGCUGGAGAGAAGGCUCAACAGUUUAGAGCUUGGUUCUCUUGCAGAGCUCCCCGUUUGGUUCCCAGCACCCAUCUGUAACUCCAGUGCCUGGGGAACUAGAUGCCCUCCUCUGCAGGCACUAUACAUGAUACACAUACAGAUACAUAAUUAAAAACAAAAAUCUUUUUAAACUUGCUUAUUCGGGUCCAGAUUGCGCUGCUCAGCUGGAAUACUUAGACUUUACAUGAGAAUCCUCAUCGCUCGGAAACUCCAGCAGCUAUGUUCUUUCUUCCCAGUUGUGUUUCAAAUGAAUCCUUAUUGAUUGAUCACACAUCGCAAUCAAGUUAUUUUCCAAUAACCACCUUUACUGAGUUUCUAGAGCCUUGUAUGUUCUUAUGAAUAUAGAAUCUAAUACUUCAAUCUGUAGCAGUCUGCAAAUCUAGAGUUCAUGGGGACGACAAGCUAAGCCCAGACACUCAGCUCAGAGCUUUCCGUGGAGUGCAAAGGAAUCCCCCAUCCACAACAGCCAGGAAAGCUGUUUAGCAAAGUAACACCCUGCUGGCAGGUGUUUAGGAGAUAAAGCAAACUAUUGGCAUCCCAAGGCUUGCCUGGCUGUUACUACUUCCUGUUUUUAACAGACACAAAGGAAUCAUUACAGUCCAUUUCCUGGAAAUAACAUCCUUCCUAAGAGCCUGUUUCAUCACCCUCGGAAAGAACAAGAAUUGCUUAGAUGUUCAAAAAUAUUGUCUUACAUUACGCAAAUAAUAAUAAUAAAAAUCUUGUUUCUGCAUAGAAAUUUCAGGGGACAUGUAACAGCCCAGAAAGACUAUUCUUUACAGACAAGCCAGCGUGGUAAAACAAAACAAAAUAAGCAACAAAAGAGUCUUAGUUCCAGUCACAAAGGAAGAGAACAAUUAGAAGCCUUAGCGAGGAGUAGUACACAUCACUUCAGGUCACUUCUGUAAUUGUCACAUGGUCCCUUUCUUUCUUUUUUUUUUUUUAAACCAAAAGAGGGUUAUUAAGAUUUGAACUCAUAACCUUUGGAAGAGCAGUCAGUGCUUUUACCCGCUGAGCCAUCUCUCCAGCCCCUGACUGUUUCUUUCUUAUGUAGAACAAUUGUUCUUACUUGAGGGUGACUUUUGUGCCCAAGGUUUCUGUAUUAAGGUUCUCUAGAGUUACAGAACUUAUUGAAUGAAUCUAUCUAUCUAUCUAUCUAUCUAUCUAUCUAUCUAUCUAUCUAUCUAUCUAUCUGGAAUUAAUUGGAACAACUUAAAGGCUGCAGACCAACUAACCCAACAAUGGCCAGCUGUGAGUGGGAAGUCCAAGAAUGUAGUAGUAGUUCGGUCCUACAAGGCUUGGUGUUUCAGCUGGUCUUCUGUCUAAGCUGGAACCCUGAAGAAUUAGGCUCCAAUAGACGUGCUGGCAAUAAGUGCAAGCAGGUGAAGAAGGAACGCUCCCAUCUUCUGUUGUCCUCCAGAUCUGGAUUAAAGAUGUGUGUCCAUCCAGAUUAAGAUCUUGUGUUGUCUUCCUGCUUCAAGAUCCAGAUCAAAAGUGUGCCCUCUGUGGAUUGUAGUUCAUUCCAGAUAUAGUCAGGUUGACAACCAAGAAUAGCCAACAUGGUUUGCACACUAUUUUCAAACUAAACAGCAAGUGAUAAAAAGUCAUAAACCUGGAGUUUUCAGGCCUGUUUGUCAGAACAAUUCACAUGAGGUUGUAAAACUCCAGCUGUGGGACUGGAGAGAUGGUUCAGUUGUUAGAGCCCCAGGUGUGGUCGCCAAGAUCCCUGGUCUAAUUCUGGAAUCCACAUAUGGCUCACAACCUUCUGUAACUCUGGCUACAUUUUCCAGUGCUAAGAGAUAAUAAAACAGUUUGUUACAUUU